AAACUUUUCAUUCACCGGAUUAAUUUUUCAGUUCAUUUAGUUGAUAACCUACAGGAUGAAUUACACAGAGGCAUUACAUAUGGCUGCAGAAUUUUCAUCACUGGGGCUGAGAUCUACAACUUCAGCCUCCAAUUCACGAUCUCACCAUCUUGUGAAACUUUUCACGAGCUCUGGCAGGUCCAAGCAAACUUUCAGAAAGUCUUCAGAUUCAGACCUGGUGUCCUGAAUGACUCAUCAUCCGAAGGCUGUGCAUCAGAUGAAGAAUAAUUUUACCCAGUGACUUUCAACAUUCACUUCUACAAGAUUUUGAGUUCUAAAUUUUUUCCCUCCCUU